GACGAACGCUGGCGGCGUGCCUAAUACAUGCAAGUCGAGCGCAGGAAACUGACGGAACUCUUCGGAGGGAAGGCAGCGGAAUGAGCGGCGGACGGGUGAGUAACACGUAAGGAACCUGCCUCAAGGAUUGGGAUAACUCCGAGAAAUCGGAGCUAAUACCGGAUAGUUCAACGGACCGCAUGGUCCGCUGAUGAAAGGCGCUCCGGCGUCACCUUGAGAUGGCCUUGCGGUGCAUUAGCUAGUUGGUGGGGUAACGGCCCACCAAGGCGACGAUGCAUAGCCGACCUGAGAGGGUGAUCGGCCACACUGGGACUGAGACACGGCCCAGACUCCUACGGGAGGCAGCAGUAGGGAAUCUUCCACAAUGGACGAAAGUCUGAUGGAGCAACGCCGCGUGAGUGAUGAAGGUUUUCGGAUCGUAAAACUCUGUUGUAAGGGAAGAACACGUACGAGAGGAAAUGCUCGUACCUUGACGGUACCUUACGAGAAAGCCACGGCUAACUACGUGCCAGCCGCCGCCGUAACAC
rnacentral:rRNA from 1 species